GUACUUUUCCCUCACAUUCUUAUUUGUUUUCAUGGAAGUCACCAUGUGUAGGGAAAACUAUGCUUUCAAGUUCUGACUGUGUGAUGAACUUCAGAACAAAACAGAAAACCCAGAGAUUUCAGAGGUGGAAGGACAUCUGGGGUGAAGACCAAGAAGAAGCCAGCCCACCUGCAGGGAUGGAGGUGAACUACUCCCAUGUGGCUGGGGACAGGAGCAGGGAGCUGCAUUUUCACAUGUCUGUUAGAAAACCAGGGAUUUCACAUUAGUCACUUCGGCAAGGUAACCCCCAUUUUAUAGAUGGUGAAACAGUGGCCCAGAGGGAAUUAGUACCUGGUCCAUGAUCAUACAGUGAGCUCAAAGCUGCCUGGCUCCUUCCAUGGGUUCCUGUCACCUCAACAGUCUAUAGUGAGGCCCAAGUGAUUGGUACUAAUUAGAAGACCCAAAGAUGCUUUCUUGGUCUGCUGGCCUGGUGUAGACCACCCCAGCAGUGAACAGUGGAUGUGCAGUGUAAUCCCGAUGUGGUCCAGAGUGACCGUGAGCUGGCAGUAAGUCCCCCGAGGAGCGCCC
rnacentral:lncRNA from 1 species